rnacentral:tRNA from 2 species
CGGAGAUUAGCUCAGAGGUAGAGCGCUCGGUUCGGGACCGAGAGGUCCGCGGUUCAAGUCCGCGAUCUCCGA